rnacentral:lncRNA from 1 species
AUCCUGACCCCGGCAGGCUGCCUUGGUCCCGCCUGCUUACAGCGGAGGAAACUGAGGCACGCUGCACGGAAGAGUGCUGCAUACUCCUCGAGAGCUGAGAGCGGCGGGGAAUCCGGGGCAGGGGCAGGGGAGAGGCGCGACCGCUGAGGUGAAUGACCUUGCUUCGGGAGGAAGCUGGGCAUCAGUCGUUCGCGAAUUCAUUUAUGUAUCAUUCAUCCGCCCAGUCAGUCGAUGGCGGAACACUGACCACGUGCCUGCCACGCCAGUCGUCGUGGGAGCAGCCACGAGCCAGACAAGGUCCCGGCCCUGACGAAGCUCUCAUUCCUCUGCGGGAUGAGGCUGUGAGGCAUUUGCACCCCUCUGCCACCUAUAAUCAUAGUUAUUUUUAGCAUAAUUACCCGGUGGUUUGGCCCCCACCAAAUGCCUGCCCUGUAUAAACAGCCCAACACAUUUUAUUAAGAUGACUCCGGAAGAAAGAAUCUUCCCAUUUUACAGAUGAGGAACCUGAGGCUCCAAAGAGCUGAAGUCCCACAGCCUGCUCCUGAUGGAGAGAGGGUUUUGAGGCCAGGCCUGUCUACCUGGGAAGACAGAGGCUCCAGUUAUUGGAGUAAUCUCCACUCAUCCACCCCAAGAAGGCCAUCGGCGAGAGGACACCCCAGCCCUGGGGCCCACAGAAGGGGUGAGGGUGGGUCCCUCAAGGCUUCUGUGGCCCAGGGGACUUGAGAAGACAGGAGGGGGCAGGGCGAGCUGGGACCUCCUCCUGGGAACGGGGGCCUUAUUUGCUGGAAACUUCUUUCCCAUUCUCAAGCAGAAGCCUCUGGAAGAGCAUGGCGGGUUGGGCUCACGAGGCUGAGGUGGCCAGGCCCUCACUCCCUCCACUCAGCCUCGCUGGGCUUUCUUCCCUGCGCCCAGUGCACCAAGCCUUUCCCACCGCCAGGCCUUUGCCUAUGUGGCUCCCUGCAGCUGGAACUCUUCUACUUCAUCUUCCCGAUCUCAGCUUAAGUGCCCCUUCCUCAGGAGGGCCCUCCCUGAUCGCCCAGCCAAGAGUAGCUCCCUUGGGGUUUUUUGUUUUGUUUUUGAGACGGGGUCUUGGUCUGUCACUCAGGCUGGAGUACAGUGGUGCAAUCACAGCUCACUACAGCCUCCAUCCAACUCCUUCCUGGGCUCAAGCCAUCGUCCCACUCAGCCUAUAUCUAUGAAUGUGGGCAGAUUUGACGAAGCAAUUUUUUUUCUUUUUUUUAGAGAGAAGGUCUUGCUCUGUCGCCCAGGCUGGAGUACAGUGGUGCAAUCAUAGGUCACUGUAACCUGGGCUCAAGCGAUCCUCCUACCUCAGCCUCCCAGGUAGCUGAGACUACAGGUGCAUGCCACCAUGCCCGGCUAAUUUUUUAAUUUUUUGUAGAGAUAGGGUCUCUUGUUGUUGCCUGAGCUGGUCUCAAACUCCUGGGUGAUCCUCCUGCCCCGGCCUCCCAAAGUGCUGGGAUUAUAGGCUUGAGCCACCAUGCCCAGCCUACCCAUUGUGAAAUUGUACAUUUUUGACAUUGUGUGAUGAACUUUUGGUCUUCUCUCCCAGGACUAGGUGUAUUGCACUCACUGCUGUGUCUACAGAACAGUGCCUGCCACACAGUGGGUGCUGAAUACAUGGAUGUUGAAUGAAUGAAUGAUCGGACUGCAGAACUCCAGGGCGGGUUCAGCGGCAGCCUAGUCAGGAAGCCAGGCACAGGAGGUGAGCUGGGAGUUGCGCAGG